rnacentral:rRNA from 1 species
CCAGGCCCUACGGGGUGCAGCAGGCGCGAAAACUUUACAAUGCUGGGAACAGCGAUAAGGGAACCUCGAGUGCCAGGUUACAAAUCUGGCUGUCGUGAUGCCUAAAAAGCAUUAUAUAGCAAGGGCCGGGCAAGACCGGUGCCAGCCGCCGCGGUAACACCGGCGGCUCGAGUGGUAACCGUUAUUAUUGGGUCUAAAGGGUCUGUAGCCGGCCGGAUAAGUCUCUUGGGAAAUCUGGCAGCUUAACUGUCAGGCUUUCAGGGGAUACUGUCUGGCUCGAGGCCGGGAGAGGUGAGAGGUACUUCAGGGGUAGGGGUGAAAUCUUGUAAUCCUUGAAGGACCACCAGUGGCGAAGGCGUCUCACCAGAACGGACCUGACGGCAAGGGACGAAAGCUAGGGGCACGAACCGGAUUAGAUACCCGGGUAGUCCUAGCCGUAAACGAUACUCGCUAGGUGUCGGCCACGGUGCGACCGUUGUCGGUGCCGUAGGGAAGCCGUGAAGCGAGCCACCUGGGAAGUACGGCCGCAAGGCUGAAACUUAAAGGAAUUGGCGGGGGAGCACAACGACGGGUGGAGCUUGCGGUUUAAUUGGAUUCAACGCCGGAAAUCUUACCGGGACCGACAGCAACAUGAAGCCAAGCGAAGAGUA